CCCUUAGAUGUUCUGGGCCGCACGCGCGCUACACUGAUUCAUGCAACAAGUUUUGUCCUUGGCUGAUAGGCCUGGGUAAUCUUUGAACGUGAAUCGUGAUGGGGAUAGAUGAUUGCAAUUAUUCAUCUUCAACGAGGAAUUCCUAGUAAAUGCAAGUCAUCAGCUUGCAUUGAUUACGUCCCUGCCCUUUGUACACACCGCCCGUCGCACCUACCGAUUGAAUGGUCCGGUGAAAUCUUCGGAUCUGAGAGAUGUCUGAUUAAUUUCGGACGCCUUUUGGAAAAGUUGUUUAAACCUUACCAUUUAGAGGAAGGUGAAGUCGUAACA
rnacentral:rRNA from 1 species